GGAGGAGGGACACCGCUGGGAGGCUGUCUCCUCCCAGUGCUCCUCUGACUGGUGUUCCCAGGGGCCUCGGCCUGGGGAGGAUGGUGCACACAUGGGUGGCUGCUUCUGCAUCCCUGGGGAGCCAAGUCUGUCCUGGGGCCCAGGUAAAGACACUUCUUCCAAGGAUCCAACCAUAUCAAGUGAAUUUAUAUCCUCAUCUGAAAACAAGGAAAAAUGUUUCCUGCCACAGAACAUGAUUCCAGAUCUGACACUCUCCUUCAGUGUGAAGAGCCGCUCCAGAAGGUGUGUAAAUGGCCCCUUGCAGGAAGCAGCCAGGAGGCGGCUCUGGGCACUGGAGAAUGAGGACCAGGAGGUGCGUGCAUUGUUUAAGGACCUCUCAGCCAGGUUGGUGGGUAUCCAGUCCCAGAAAGCCCAGUUCCUCAUCACCUUUAAGACUAUGGAGGAAAUCUGGAAGUUCUCCACCUACCUGAACUUAGGCUACGUAUCCACAUGUCUGGAGCAUCUCCUUUUUGACCACAAGUAUUGGCUCAACUGCCGACUGGUGGAGGAUACAGAGAUCCACGUGUCAAUAGAUGAUAAACACCUGGAAACUAUAUACCUGGGACUCCUGAUCCAGGAAGGUCACUUCUUCUGCAGAGCCAUGUGCUCUGUGGCUCAGCCAGCUGAGAAGGAAGGGGAGUAUUUGACACUUUGCGAGAAUGAGUUAAUCUCGGUGAAGAUGGCUGAAGGCGAGUCUAAGUGGGAAGGCGUGUCCUUGGUGACGGGUCAGCGGGGCCUGGUGCCAGUGUCAGCCUUGGAACCCCUGCUUCUCCCUUUCCACCAAUGGUUCCUAAAGAAUUUUCCAGGAAGCUGUGGUCUUUCCAGGAAGAGAGAUUGGACAGGCUCCUAUCAGAUAGGUAGAGGAAAAUGUAAGGCCUGGAAGGAAUGUGAGAGGGAAGAAAAGGAUGAGCUGAAUUUCCACCAGGGAGAAAGCAUUGAAAUCAUCGGCUUUGUCAUUCCUGGGCUUCAGUGGUUCAUUGGGAAGUCAGCGCUCUCAGGAGAAGUGGGCUUUGUCCCUACCAGGAUCAUAGAUCCUGAUUCUUAUUCCCCAAUGAGCAAGAACUCUGCCUUUUUCAGUGAUGAGGAAAAAUGCUCUCUGGGGUUCCUGGGAAGUGACAGGAAAGCUGAGUGUGUCAGCUUCCUCCGCACACUUGCUCAGACUGACAUAACAUCUGUCUACCAGCUUAGUGGGUUUGAAUCCAUCCAAAGUCUUCCAAACGAUCUGAGCGUGUCCCAGUCCGAAGGCUUCAAGGAGACCCGGCCUGGUGGAGCCUGGGAGGAGCAUCAGGCUGUGGGCUCCGGACAGUCCAGCAGCUCUGAGGACUCCAGUCUGGAGGAAGAGCUCCUUUCAGCCGCCUCAGACACCUAUCAUCUGCCAGAGCCUGAUAACCUUGAUGACCCAGAAUUGCUCAUGAACCUGAACACCGCUCAGGAAGAGGAGGAGGCUGAGAACUUCGCCCCCCUAUUGGCUUUUCUGGAUCACGAGGGUUAUGCUGACCACUUUAAGAGCCUCUAUGAUUUUUCCUUCUCUUUUCUCACGUCUUCCUUUUAUAGUUACUCUGAGGAGGAUGAGCUCAUGGCUUACCUGGAGGCCUCAAGGAAGUGGGCCAAGCGGAGCCACAUGACCUGGGCCCACGCCCGGCUCUGCUUCCUCCUGGGUCGGCUAAGUGUCAGGAAGGUCAAGCUCUCUCAGGCCAGGGUGUACUUUGAGGAGGCCAUCCACAUUCUCAAUGGGGCAUUUAAGGAUCUAUCCUUGGUGGCUGCCCUGUACAUCAAUUUGGCGGCCAUCUACCUGAGGCAGAGGCUGAGGCAUAAAGGCUCGUCCUUGCUGGAGAAGGCAGGUACCUUGUUGGCCUGCCUGCCUGACCGGGAGUAUAGUGCCAUGAGCGAGCUGGAUGUGGUGGCCUAUGUGCUGAGACAGGGCAUCGUGUCAGGCAGCUGCCCCCUGGAGGCCAGGGCCUGCUUUCUGGCCAUCCGAUUGCUCCUAAACCUUGGCCGGCAUGACGAGGUCCUGCCCUUCGCUGAGCGCCUGCAGCUCCUCUCUGGACACCCUUCCACCUCAGAUGCUGCAGCCACCAUCUUGAGUUUUCUCUAUGACAAGAAAUAUCUGCCACACCUUGCAGUGGCUUCUGCCCGGCUGCGUGGAACUCAGAGUGUCCAAGGGAUGACCCUUCCAAUUUGGCAGGUCCACCUGGUCCUGCAGAACAUCACCAAGCUCCUUGGCAUCUCCUCCCCAAGCUGGGGUGAAGUUUCUUCCCUGGCUUGCCCGGCACUCAGGCAGGCACUGACUUCCUGUGAGGAACAGGCGGACUGGAGCACCCAGAGGGUCCUGUGUCUCAUCCUGUCCAAAGUGUACCUCCAACACAGGUCUCCUGAUGGUGCCAUCCACUACCUGAGCCAAGCUUUGAGGCUAGGCCAGCUGCUGAGUGAGCAGGAAGCUUUUGAGUCUUCCCUCUGCUUGGCAUGGGCCUAUCUCUUAUCCAGCCAGCCAAAGAAGGCUUUGGACAUCCUUGAGCCAUUCUUAUACUCCCUGAAGGAGACAGAGAGUGUUAUCCACAAAGGAGUGGUCUAUAACCUCAUGGGACUUGCACUUCAAGGUGAAGGCCGGGUGUACAGGGCAGCCAAGAGCUAUCUUCGGGCCUUGAACAGAGCCCAGGAGGUGGGGGAUGUGCGCAACCAGGCAGUGGCUUUGGCCAAUCUUGGCCAUCUGACCCUUAAGUCCUGGCCUCAGCAGCCAGCCAGGAACUAUCUUCUGCAGUCUGUGCAACUCUAUUCUACACUCCAGGCCAGCAUGGAGACAGACAUGGAAUUAGUACAGGUGCUUCUCUGGCUGGCCCAGGUCCAGGUGUAUGGACGCCAGCUGGCCAGUGGCCGCUUUUGUUAUGAAAUGGCACUGCUGUUUGGCUUAAGGCAUCAACACCUGAAGAGUCAGCUUCAGGUCACCAAAUCCCUCUGCCAUUUCUACAGCUCUGUGUCCCCAAACCCCGCGGCAUGCAUCACCUACCACGAGCACUGGCUGACACUGGCUCAGCAACUCAGAGACCGGGAGAUGGAGGGGAGGCUGCUGGAGUCCCUUGGACAGCUCUAUCGGAACCUAAAUACAUCCAGGUCCCUCAGGAGGUCCCUCACCUGCAUCAAGGAGAGCCUGCGUAUCUUCACUGACCUGGGGGAGAGAGACAAGGCUGCUGAGGCCUGGCUUGGGGCUGGGCGACUCCACUACCUCAUGCAGGAAGAUGAACUGGUGGAGCUGUACCUGCAGACAGCCAUCCAGAAAGCCCUGAAGUCAGAGGAGCCCUCCUUGGCUCUCAAGCUCUAUGAGGAAGCGGGUGAUGUGUUCUUCAAUGGGACUCGCCACAGGCAUCGUGCAGUGGAGUAUUACCGAAAUGGGGCUGUUCCCUUAGCAAGGAGGAUGAAGGCAGUGAGAACCGAGCUCCGGAUUUUCAACAAGUUGGCAGAGCUGCAGAUCAGCCUGGAAGGCUAUGAGAAGGCUUUGGAAUUUGCUACCUUGGCAGCCAGACUCAGCACAGUUGCAGUCUUCCAAUUUCUAGAAGAUCAGCGGCAGGAGCUGGUGGCCUUCCACCGUCUGGCCACUGUGUACUAUUCCCUGCACAUGUAUGAGAUGGCUGAGGACUGCUACCUGAAGACUCUGUCCCUCUGUCCACCCUGGCUACAGACCCCCAAGGAGGCCUUAUACUAUGCCAAGGUGUAUUAUCGUCUGGGCCAACUCACCUUCUACCAGCUGAAGGUAAGAAACAGGCUUGCGAGGCUGUCUGAGAGCUGCUGUCCACUUAUAUUCUUCCCUGACCCUGAGCCUUCAGGGUAAAGUAGAGAGGGGUAAACUGGGGAGUGUUGUCUCAUAGGGUGGGGAGUGGCUCCUCUGGGAACACAAUGACAGUCUCCACUUAGCCCCCCUUGGAGAGCUCAAAGAGGCUCCCAUCUCUGCUAAGGAGACAUGUUCCUCUCUUUCCUUGCCCUGCUGGGAUUUCUGGGCCCAUUUCAUUUAUCAGAUACUAUGGGGACAUGUUCUAGUGCCUGUGAGCUCCUCCAGGGCCUGUGAAAAUAUAUGAGACCUAAACAAUACACGAGACCCCCAAACAAAAGAACUAUAAGCUUCAAAAUUAAAAUUAAUUCCUAACUGUACGUCUGAAAAAUGUUAUAGAUGAACUAGUCAGUUGCAACUCAGUUCUUAAGAAGUUUUAUAAAUGAUAUUUUAGAUGAAAUCUAGGUACAUAUUGACAUGUUUGAGAUAAUAACAUGCAGGGUCUUAGAUUAUAAGCAUGCCUAGGUCCUGAGAAGAUCUUAGCCCUGAUCUCCUGUUUGCUUUUCUGGAGUUGAAUCCAGAACUUCUUAUUUUUCCAGUGACUUCUAUUAAUAGAACUAUGUGUGUGGUCUAUAAUUCUCAGUUGCAUUCUGGCCGUCGAACUUAGUCCCUAGACAUUGACUUCCCUUACUAGAUGUCUCUCUCUGCUUCAGCAGAAUCCUUACUCUUUUCACACAGAAACAGUGGCUUCUGUUUGCAGACCCUUAGGGCAGCUCUGCUGUCCUUUUCUUAUUUGCCAGAGUGUUUCUGGUUUGAAUUUAUUAUUGCCCUAUGAGGGUUAAUGAGAACCAGACAUAUCUUUUUGAGUCUCACCAGAAGAACCAUAUUUUCUGCAUCCCAACCAUGUAGGGAGGGACGAUGGGGUAGUGAAGAACUCCCCUCAGCAAUCUUGCCUUUGAUCCACAGCUCCCAGGAAGUAGGACAAAGUGUGUAUGAUUUGAUUUCAUCAACCAAGGACUCUAGGCAUUGCAAGGGAAAGAGCUCAACUCAAACUAGCUUAAGCAAAUAAGGAGAUUUAUUGGCUCAAGGAACUGGGAAAUUCAGGUAUAAGUUUAAUUUCAGGUAGUGCUGGAAGCUGGUAGCCAGAAGCCAUCAUGGAUCUGAGAGAGAGGUGGGGAACCUCUCUCUGUAUUUCUUGGCUUAGAAUGUUUCUACUUCUCUCUGUUACUUGGCCUUUUCUCCUUCUAUUAUUCGCAGCUUCAAGCCCCCAUCUAAAAGGGUGAGGGACCAUUUUCUCUCUUAGGUCACACUUGAAACGUCCCAGGGAGUGACUUGGGACAAGUCAGCUUGAGUCAUAUUCUUAUACCUAAAGCUCUGUGCCCAGGGUGAUGCUGCUUCAUGAUUGUCUGUGUCUGGGAUGCCCACGAUGCCACCGAGUACUUCUGGCUGGCCCUGGCGGCUGCGGUCCUGCUUGGUGACGAGGAGCUGCAGGACGUCAU